rnacentral:miRNA from 1 species
GACUGGAGUGAGGAAAGCCCACACUCAGCUCUCUGGGAUCCCAGAGAGCUGAGUGUGGGCUUUCCUCACUCCAGU